UACGUAGGGUGCGAGCGUUGUCCGGAAUUAUUGGGCGUAAAGAGCUUGUAGGCGGUUUGUCGCGUCUGCCGUGAAAGCCCAGGGCUUAACCCUGGGUCUGCGGUGGGUACGGGCAGACUAGAGUGUGGUAGGGGAGACUGGAAUUCCUGGUGUAGCGGUGAAAUGCGCAGAUAUCAGGAGGAACACCGGUGGCGAAGGCGGUUCUCUGGGCAUUACCUGACGCUGAGGAGCGAAAGUGUGGGGAGCGAACAGG
rnacentral:rRNA from 1 species